AGUUAGCCUAGUGGUAAGGCGUAGGAUCGCUAAUCCGGAGACGACGGAUUCAAUUUCCGUACU
rnacentral:tRNA from 1 species